rnacentral:misc_RNA from 1 species
GUGAAUCAUCGAAUCUUUGAACGCAAAUUGCACUCCCUGGUUUUCCGGGAGAGUAUGCUUGUUUGAGGGUCAGCAUAAAAAAAAUUGACAUUGUUGCUGAUUUAUGUUGAUUUUAGUUGGAGAUGGGUUAUCUUAAAUCUCGGUUUAAUCGACUUAAUAAUUUUUUUUAUGAUUCUAAGUAUGAUUCUAAGUUUCUUCUUGUAUGUUUAAUGUAUCGAAUGUCUUAUU